GACGCGGACCCGUCGUAGAGGUGCGGCACCCUGCUUACAACCGGCGGCGCGGUAGCGCGGCGUAGUCCUCUUCGCCGCAGCCUCGGCUUCCGGCGGCGGCACGGUUCCACACCGCCUCUCUUGACGCGAGGCGUACGCGCAACCGGCAGAGACAACGGCCCGACGCACCGCCCGGCACCACGAGGAGGCCUCCCUCCUCGCAACGACGGCCCUACACCAACAGCGGCGACAUCUGCCGGCACGGCUACCUCCGACGCCCACGCCGGAGUUGGUAGCGUAGGUCCCCCUUUUCCCUCCUCCUCUCACCUGCUCGCCGGCGGCGAAUCUGGAAGGAGGCAGGCCUUAGCUCAGGCGACUAGGCGCCGGCUAGAGUAAAUUCUCUCACACAAGCUCCGAAGGUUAAGAACUUAGCUACCUCCGACCGCGACGCAAGAAGGUAGCCAAGAAGAAAGAAACAUCAAGUGCUAACUAGUUAAGAAGCACUCUAAGCACACUCGCGUAUAUGUAUGUCCUCUUUUUGUUAAGUAACAAUCUAAUAAUUAACUACUAACGUUCUUCUGUUCUAGUUAGUUAGUUAGAGGGACUAAUCAAAGAAAGGAAAAACAUGCUCCUUGUAGAGCAGAAGCGGCACUUAGCGCACCACCGGCUUUGAGAUCAUCGGUUGAAGAGGUCUGAAGAGGUCAGUAGCAGACGCCGUUAACGUCUAGCGGCCUCACCGGAGGAGACCGGUAUCUCUCCGGAACGGCAAACGGCGGCGAC
rnacentral:rRNA from 1 species